AACGAACGCUGGCGGCAUGCCUAACACAUGCAAGUCGAACGAGACCUUCGGGUCUAGUGGCGCACGGGUGCGUAACGCGUGGGAAUCUGCCCUUGGGUUCGGAAUAACAGUUAGAAAUGACUGCUAAUACCGGAUAAUGUCUUCGGACCAAAGAUUUAUCGCCCAGGGAUGAGCCCGCGUAGGAUUAGCUAGUUGGUGAGGUAAAGGCUCACCAAGGCGACGAUCCUUAGCUGGUCUGAGAGGAUGAUCAGCCACACUGGGACUGAGACACGGCCCAGACUCCUACGGGAGGCAGCAGUGGGGAAUAUUGGACAAUGGGCGGAAAGCCUGAUCCAGCAAUGCCGCGUGAGUGAUGAAGGCC
rnacentral:rRNA from 1 species